GUUGUCCGUUUAUUUAGCAAAUAAAUAAACAACUUGUACUGCCAUGUAGCGAUUUCGAUAGACGACGCCUUCAAGGGAGGAGGAGUCUACAACAUAUUGAAUUUAUCGAUCGAUUGUUAGGCCGAUUUCGAUCAGCAUUGUAUAGUUAAUGAAUGACAACUUGACGAGAUCUUGACACGCACGUUGGAAGUGUACGCGUGUUUGCACCUCGAUGAGCGUUGCACAAUAACAAAGCUCCGUUGGUGAGCGUAUUGAUUAAUAAAGCUAGGUGAAGUCCUUGAGUGCCCCAAGGACUUUGUUUUGUUUUAGCAGUAUUUUUUCCUUCAACAAUUAAUCUUGCAUCUCCAACCGUGGAAUGAGUUACAUGUGACUCGAGACAAACAAACAGUGCAAUUGCAACAAUAUAAUUAGUCAGCGGUAUGGUCACUAUCAGCAGCUUUACACACAGUGUGCAUCGUGAAUACAUCAAUCCCAGA
rnacentral:lncRNA from 1 species